CCAAUAGCGUAUAUUAAAGUUGUUGUGGUUAAAAAGCUCGUAGUUGAACCUUGGGCCUGGCUGGCCGGUCCGCCUCACCGCGUGUACUGGUCCGGCCGGGCCUUUCCCUCUGUGGAACCCCAUGCCCUUCACUGGGCGUGGCGGGGAAACAGGACUUUUACUGUGAAAAAAUUAGAGUGCUCCAGGCAGGCCUAUGCUCGAAUACAUUAGCAUGGAAUAAUAGAAUAGGACGUGUGGUUCUAUUUUGUUGGUUUCUAGGACCGCCGUAAUGAUUAAUAGGGACAGUCGGGGGCAUCAGUAUUCAAUGGUCAGAGGUGAAAUUCUUGGAUUGAUUGAAGACUAACUACUGCGAAAGCAUUUGCCAAGGAUGUUUUCAUUAAUCAGGAACGAAAGUUAGGGGAUCGAAGACGAUCAGAUACCGUCGUAGUCUUAACCAUAAACUAUGCCGACUAGGGAUCGGACGGUGUUAUUUUUUGACCCGUUCGGCACCUUACG
rnacentral:rRNA from 1 species